rnacentral:tRNA from 1 species
GUGUAGCUCAGCAGUAGAGUACAUGUGUACAAUGCAUGAGUCCCUGGGUUUAAUCCCCAGCAC